GACGAACGCUGGCGGCGUGCCUAAUACAUGCAAGUAGAACGCACAGUUUAUACCGUAGCUGGAUACACGAUAAACUGUGAGUUGCGAACGGGUGAGUAACGCGUAGGUAACCUGCCUGGUAGCGGGGGAUAACGAUUGGAAACGAGAGCUAAUACCGCAUAAUAGUGAUUAUUGGAUGAUAAUUGAUUGAAAGAUGGUAUUGCAUCACUACCAGAUGGACCUGCGUUGUAUUAGCUAGUAGGGGAGGUAACGGCUCACCUAGGGGGGGAUACAUAGCCGACCUGGGCGGCUGGUCGGCCACCCUGGGACGGAGGCACGGCCCAGACUCCUACGGGAGGCAGCAGUAGGGAAUCUUCGGCAAUGGACGAGAGUCUGACCGAACAACGCCGCGUCGGUGACGACGGUUUUCGGUUCGUAAAGCUCUGUUGUAAGAGAAGAACGGGUGUGAGAGUGGAAAGUUCACACUGUGACGGUACCUUACCAGAAAGCGCCGGCUAACUACGUG
rnacentral:rRNA from 1 species